GAUGAACGCUGGCGGCGUGCCUAAUACAUGCAAGUAGAACGCUGAAGGAAGGAGCUUGCUCUUUCCGGAUGAGUUGCGAACGGGUGAGUAACGCGUAGGUAACCUGCCUGGUAGCGGGGGAUAACUAUUGGAAACGAUAGCUAAUACCGCAUAACAGUAGAUGUUGCAUGACAACUAUUUGAAAGGGGCAAUUGCUCCACUACCAGAUGGACCUGCGUUAUAUUAGCUAGUUGGUGAGGUAACGGCUCACCAAGGCGACGAUACAUAGCCGACCUGAGAGGGUGAUCGGCCACACUGGGACUGAGACACGGCCCAGACUCCUACGGGAGGCAGCAGUAGGGAAUCUUCGGCAAUGGACGGAAGUCUGACCGAGCAACGCCGCGUGAGUGAAGAAGGUUUUCGGAUCGUAAAGCUCUGUUGUAAGAGAAGAACGAGUGUGAGAGUGGAAAGUUCACACUGUGACGGUAUCUUACCAGAAAGGGACGGCUAACUACGUG
rnacentral:rRNA from 1 species